rnacentral:rRNA from 1 species
GACGAACGCUGGCGGCGUGCUUAACACAUGCAAGUGGAGCGACGAACCAGGCUUCGGCCUGGGGCAGAGCCGCGAACGGGUGAGUAACACGUGGGUAACCUGCCCUGAUGAUCGGGACAACCCGGGGAAACCCGGGCUAAUACCGAAUGUGCUGCUCUCGCAUCAGUGAGAGUAGGAAAGGAAGCUUCGGCCUCCGCAUCAGGAUGGGCCCGCGGCCCAUUAGCUGUUGGUGAGGUAACGGCUCACCAAGGCUUCGAUCGGUAGCUGGUCUGAGAGGAUGACCAGCCACACUGGGACUGAGACACGGCCCAGACUCCUACGGGAGGCAGCAGUGGGGAAUAUUGGACAAUGGGCGCAAGCCUGAUCCAGCCAUGCCGCGUGAGUGAUGAAGG